GCACCGUGUAGCGCACUAGGUAGCGCGUCAGUCUCAUAAUCUGUAAAUCUUCUCGAUGCGAUCGAGUUACUAAUCUGACAGCCGCGAGUUCGAUCCUCACCCGGGGCA
rnacentral:tRNA from 1 species